rnacentral:rRNA from 1 species
UUAAGCGACUAAGCGUACACGGUGGAUGCCCUGGCAGUCAGAGGCGAUGAAGGACGUGCUAAUCUGCGAUAAGCGUCGGUAAGGUGAUAUGAACCGUUAUAACCGGCGAUUUCCGAAUGGGGAAACCCAGUGUGAUUCGUCACACUAUCAUUAACUGAAUCCAUAGGUUAAUGAGGCGAACCGGGGGAACUGAAACAUCUAAGUACCCCGAGGAAAAGAAAUCAACCGAGAUUCCCCCAGUAGCGGCGAGCGAACGGGGAGCAGCCCAGAGCCUGAAUCAGUGUGUGUGUUAGUGGAAGCGUCUGGAAAGGCGCGCGAUACAGGGUGACAGCCCCGUACACAAAAAUGCACAUGCUGUGAGCUCGAUGAGUAGGGCGGGACACGUGGUAUCCUGUCUGAAUAUGGGGGGACCAUCCUCCAAGGCUAAAUACUCCUGACUGACCGAUAGUGAACCAGUACCGUGAGGGAAAGGCGAAAAGAACCCCGGCGAGGGGAGUGAAAAAGAACCUGAAACCGUGUACGUACAAGCAGUGGGAGCACAGAGCAAUCUGUGUGACUGCGUACCUUUUGUAUAAUGGGUCAGCGACUUAUAUUCUGUAGCAAGGUUAACCGAAUAGGGGAGCCGAAGGGAAACCGAGUCUUAACUGGGCGUUAAGUUGCAGGGUAUAGACCCGAAACCCGGUGAUCUAGCCAUGGGCAGGUUGAAGGUUGGGUAACACUAACUGGAGGACCGAACCGACUAAUGUUGAAAAAUUAGCGGAUGACUUGUGGCUGGGGGUGAAAGGCCAAUCAAACCGGGAGAUAGCUGGUUCUCCCCGAAAGCUAUUUAGGUAGCGCCUCGUGAAUUCAUCUCCGGGGGUAGAGCACUGUUUCGGCAAGGGGGUCAUCCCGACUUACCAACCCGAUGCAAACUGCGAAUACCGGAGAAUGUUAUCACGGGAGACACACGGCGGGUGCUAACGUCCGUCGUGAAGAGGGAAACAACCCAGACCGCCAGCUAAGGUCCCAAAGUCAUGGUUAAGUGGGAAACGAUGUGGGAAGGCCCAGACAGCCAGGAUGUUGGCUUAGAAGCAGCCAUCAUUUAAAGAAAGCGUAAUAGCUCACUGGUCGAGUCGGCCUGCGCGGAAGAUGUAACGGGGCUAAACCAUGCACCGAAGCUGCGGCAGCGACACUGUGUGUUGUUGGGUAGGGGAGCGUUCUGUAAGCCUGCGAAGGUGUGCUGUGAGGCAUGCUGGAGGUAUCAGAAGUGCGAAUGCUGACAUAAGUAACGAUAAAGCGGGUGAAAAGCCCGCUCGCCGGAAGACCAAGGGUUCCUGUCCAACGUUAAUCGGGGCAGGGUGAGUCGACCCCUAAGGCGAGGCCGAAAGGCGUAGUCGAUGGGAAACAGGUUAAUAUUCCUGUACUUGGUGUUACUGCGAAGGGGGGACGGAGAAGGCUAUGUUGGCCGGGCGACGGUUGUCCCGGUUUAAGCGUGUAGGCUGGUUUUCCAGGCAAAUCCGGAAAAUCAAGGCUGAGGCGUGAUGACGAGGCACUACGGUGCUGAAGCAACAAAUGCCCUGCUUCCAGGAAAAGCCUCUAAGCAUCAGGUAACAUCAAAUCGUACCCCAAACCGACACAGGUGGUCAGGUAGAGAAUACCAAGGCGCUUGAGAGAACUCGGGUGAAGGAACUAGGCAAAAUGGUGCCGUAACUUCGGGAGAAGGCACGCUGAUAUGUAGGUGAAGUCCCUCGCGGAUGGAGCUGAAAUCAGUCGAAGAUACCAGCUGGCUGCAACUGUUUAUUAAAAACACAGCACUGUGCAAACACGAAAGUGGACGUAUACGGUGUGACGCCUGCCCGGUGCCGGAAGGUUAAUUGAUGGGGUUAGCGCAAGCGAAGCUCUUGAUCGAAGCCCCGGUAAACGGCGGCCGUAACUAUAACGGUCCUAAGGUAGCGAAAUUCCUUGUCGGGUAAGUUCCGACCUGCACGAAUGGCGUAAUGAUGGCCAGGCUGUCUCCACCCGAGACUCAGUGAAAUUGAACUCGCUGUGAAGAUGCAGUGUACCCGCGGCAAGACGGAAAGACCCCGUGAACCUUUACUAUAGCUUGACACUGAACAUUGAGCCUUGAUGUGUAGGAUAGGUGGGAGGCUUUGAAGUGUGGACGCCAGUCUGCAUGGAGCCGACCUUGAAAUACCACCCUUUAAUGUUUGAUGUUCUAACGUUGACCCGUGAUCCGGGUUGCGGACAGUGUCUGGUGGGUAGUUUGACUGGGGCGGUCUCCUCCUAAAGAGUAACGGAGGAGCACGAAGGUUGGCUAAUCCUGGUCGGACAUCAGGAGGUUAGUGCAAUGGCAUAAGCCAGCUUGACUGCGAGCGUGACGGCGCGAGCAGGUGCGAAAGCAGGUCAUAGUGAUCCGGUGGUUCUGAAUGGAAGGGCCAUCGCUCAACGGAUAAAAGGUACUCCGGGGAUAACAGGCUGAUACCGCCCAAGAGUUCAUAUCGACGGCGGUGUUUGGCACCUCGAUGUCGGCUCAUCACAUCCUGGGGCUGAAGUAGGUCCCAAGGGUAUGGCUGUUCGCCAUUUAAAGUGGUACGCGAGCUGGGUUUAGAACGUCGUGAGACAGUUCGGUCCCUAUCUGCCGUGGGCGCUGGAGAACUGAGGGGGGCUGCUCCUAGUACGAGAGGACCGGAGUGGACGCAUCACUGGUGUUCGGGUUGUCAUGCCAAUGGCACUGCCCGGUAGCUAAAUGCGGAAGAGAUAAGUGCUGAAAGCAUCUAAGCACGAAACUUGCCCCGAGAUGAGUUCUCCCUGACUCCUUGAGAGUCCUGAAGGAACGUUGAAGACGACGACGUUGAUAGGCCGGGUGUGUAAGCGCAGCGAUGCGUUGAGCUAACCGGUACUAAUGAACCGUGAGGCUUAACCUU